rnacentral:misc_RNA from 1 species
UUUCGUCGGAAGAAUUUUGGGUUGCUCCGCUCAGCUUCGCUGCCGUUCACCAUGGCCAAAGCUUCGUCCUCCUUAAUCCAAACCCUAAAGCGCUACAUCAAGAAGCCUUGGGAGAUCACCGGCCCGUGUGCAGAUCCAGAGUACAGAUCAGCCGUCCCGAGCGCCUUAGAGUACAGGGUCUUUUGCCCCGCCACUACAAAGGAGAAAGCCAUUGUCCCUACCUCCAAUCCCGAGACGGUCUUCGACAUUAAGUAUUACACCCGCGACCAGCGUCGCAAUCGCCCUCCAAUUCGACGUACCAUCCUCAAGAAACCUGACGUCGAGAAGAUGAUGAAGGAGACCAAGUUCGACCCUGCUGACUUUCCCAAAGUUUAUCUCACUGCCGCGAUCGAGGAGGAUAUAAAUGCUCGUGGAGGUGGUUAUCAGAAGUAAUAAGGUUCUUUGUGCUCUGGGAAAUGUUCUCUCCAGCUUGUAUUCUUCAACUCUGCUUCUCUUUCAAUGUUAACCUGAGAGUUUGGUUAUUUAGGUAUAGUAGUUUGUACGCCUAGCCUAUACAUUAAUACAAGACUUGGGA